rnacentral:rRNA from 1 species
UACGUAGGGAGCAAGCGUUGUUCGGAUUUACUGGGCGUAAAGGGCGCGUAGGCGGCGCUGUAAGUCACUUGUGAAAUCUCUGAGCUUAACUCAGAACGGCCAAGUGAUACUGCAGUGCUAGAGUGCAGAAGGGGCAAUCGGAAUUCUUGGUGUAGCGGUGAAAUGCGUAGAUAUCAAGAGGAACACCUGAGGUGAAGACGGGUUGCUGGGCCGACACUGACGCUGAGGCGCGAAAGCCAGGGGAGCAAACGGG